rnacentral:rRNA from 1 species
AGAACGAACGCUGGCGGCAUGCCUAAUACAUGCAAGUCGAACGAACUCUUCGGAGUUAGUGGCGCACGGGUGCGUAACGCGUGGGAAUCUGCCCCUUGGUUCGGAAUAACAGUUGGAAACGACUGCUAAUACCGGAUGACGACGGAAGUCCAAAGAUUUAUCGCCAAGGGAUGAGCCCGCGUAGGAUUAGCUAGUUGGUGAGGUAAAGGCUCACCAAGGCAACGAUCCUUAGCUGGUCUGAGAGGAUGAUCAGCCACACUGGGACUGAGACACGGCCCAGACUCCUACGGGAGGCAGCAGUAAGGGAAUAUUGGACAAUGGGCGAAAGCCUGAUCCAGCAAUG